AUUGAACGCUGGCGGCAGGCUUAACACAUGCAAGUCGAGCGGAGAGAGGUAGCUUGCUACUGAUCUUAGCGGCGGACGGGUGAGUAAUGCUUAGGAAUCUGCCUAUUAGUGGGGGACAACAUUUCGAAAGGAAUACUAAUACCGCAUACGUCCUACGGGAGAAAGCAGGGGAUCUUCGGACCUUGCGCUAAUAGAUGAGCCUAGGUCGGAUUAGCUAGUUGGUGGGGUAAAGGCCUACCAAGGCGACGAUCUGUAGCGGGUCUGAGAGGAUGAUCCGCCAAACUGGGACUGAGACACGGCCCAGACUCCUACGGGAGGCAGCAGUGGGGAAUAUUGGACAAUGGGCGGAAGCCUGAUCCAGCCAUGCCGCGUGUGUGAAGAAGGCCUUAUGAUUGUAAAGCACUUUAAGCGAGGAGGAGGCUACUUUAGUUAAUACCUAGAGAUAGUGGACGUUACUCGCAGAAUAAGCACCGGCUAACUCUGUGCCAGCCGCCGCGGUAA
rnacentral:rRNA from 1 species